AACGAACGCUGGCGGCAUGCCUAACACAUGCAAGUCGAACGAGACCUUCGGGUCUAGUGGCGCACGGGUGCGUAACGCGUGGGAACCUGCCUUUAGGUUCGGAAUAACUCAGAGAAAUUUGAGCUAAUACCGGAUAAUGUCUUCGGACCAAAGAUUUAUCGCCUUUAGAUGGGCCCGCGUUGGAUUAGCUAGUUGGUGGGUAAAGGCCUACCAAGGCGGCGAUCCUUAGCUGGUCUGAGAGGAUGAUCAGCCACACUGGGACUGAGACACGGCCCAGACUCCUACGGGAGGCAGCAGUGGGGAAUAUUGGACAAUGGGCGAAAGCCUGAUCCAGCAAUGCCGCGUGAGUGAUGAAGGCCUUAGGGUUGUAAAGCUCUUUUACCCGAGAUGAUAAUGACAGUAUCGGGAGAAUAAGCUCCGGCUAACUCCGUGCCAGCAGCCGCGGU
rnacentral:rRNA from 1 species